GGAGAGAUGGCUCAGUGGUUAAGAGCACUGACUGUUCUUCCAGAGGUCCUGAGUUCAAUUCCCAGCAACCCCA
rfam:Rattus norvegicus chromosome 14, whole genome shotgun sequence.